CCUACGGGUGGCUGCAGUGGGGAAUAUUGCACAAUGGGGGGAACCCUGAUGCAGCGACGCCGCGUGAAGGAAGAAGUAUUUCGGUAUGUAAACUUCCAUCAGCAGGGAAGAAAAUGACGGUACCUGACUAAGAAGCCCCGGCUAACUACGGGCCAGCAGCCGCGGUAAAACGUAGGGGGCACGCGUUAUCCGGAUUUACUGGGUGUAAAGGGAGCGUAGGCGGGAGUGCAAGUACGAAGGGAAAGCCCAAGGGUCAACCAUGGGACUGCUUUUGAAAAUGUACAGCUAGAUUGCAGGAGAGGUAAGGGGAAUUCCUAGUGUAGCGGUGAAAUGCGUAGAUAUUACGAGGAACACCAGUGGCGAAGGCGGCUUACUGGACUGUAAAUGACGCUGAGGCUCGAAAGCGUGGGGAGCAAACAGGAUUAGAUACCCCGGUAGUC
rnacentral:rRNA from 1 species